GAGCAGGCUGUGCAGCCAAGCCAAACACAAAUGGAAGACAGAUAAUUUGCACACGAUGGUGUGCACGUGUGUUUGGUGCGUGCGCACGGACGUCUGCAUGUUUGUGCACACGCAGGCUUUGCCUACGUCCUGCUGCUGUGGCUGGGAAGUGUAGAAAUACAGAGCUUUCCAAGUCUUGCAGAAUCAGUGGCUCAAAUUGCAUCUAGAAGAGCUCCCCACGCCACCUGUGGGGUUAGAGGGCUCACAGAGUAACCCGUCCCACCUGGAGAAGAGCAAUCACCUGUCCUCGCAGGGCUGUGAGGGCUGGGGAGCUGAUAUAAGUCAGGCUGAAGUGAGGCUGGCUGCUUUUUGGAGGAGUGGUUGGGCAAGACAGUGCUCUGGUGGUCAGAUCAUCCUGAGCAUCAGGCAGCAGUGCUGGCUGGACCUGGGAUGCUGUUUGCUUGUGUAAGGCCCACUGGCUUCUGCUGCUCAGGAAAUACCCCCAAACCCACCAGUGGACGCUCACCCCAACCCCCCCCCUCCCACCCAAAGGCUCCCGGUUGGUGCUUGCACUUUCCUGCACGAGGACCAUCAGCAGGAGAGGGAUUUGCUGCAGACUGCAGCAGGAAAGGUGGAAUGCGGAGCGUGAGAGGAGCAGCCACCUUUCAGGCCAACAGCUGCUUUGGGGGAUGGGUUGGAUAAAUGUGCAGGGUUUCCAAUCAGCCCCACACACCCCGGUCAGAAGGCUUCACCGGAGCACAGCGUGGGGGAAUGGCUGCUGAUAACACUGCGUCCAUCCCAGACAUCCCCACAAACUUUCCUGGAGGAACCCACACCACCAGAGGGGACCGCAGUGGGUCACAACCUGACCCGACCCCAAAGGGCAGCGAUGCAGAUGGCAGUGGGAAAACCAGGUCGGAGUGCAUUGGAAAGAGCUGAAAGUCAGAGGGAUCUCCUCCAAGCCACCUCUCGCUGCUUUUGGAUGCUAGGAGGAACCAACUCUGCGUUGAAGCACUUGGCACAAGGCAGGACCAAGAUCCCCCUUCCAACACAUGCACGAGAGCAGAGCUGAACCGUUCGCACAGAAAACAGCUGGAAAAACACAACAAAAUCAAAAGGUCCUUCUGCUCCAUCUCCUGCCUGUAGGUUCUGGUGGGUUGCAGAGCGUUGCCCUCCAUGGUUUGCAGCUCUGCAGAAGGGCUGAGAGCACAGGGACACCAAAGUGUGCCUCUCCCAUGGGGGAGCGUGGGGUCAGCGAGGUGCCCUGGGGACACUCACCCCAACCCAUCUCAUGUCCAGCCGGCGUCUCCCAUAUCCAUCAGCCACGUGCAGCCAGCGCAUUAAAAUCUCAUUUAAAAAGGAAUCAAGGUUUAAUCCAUCCGUGUUUGAAAAUGGUCUUUUCCCAUAUCCUGCUUUUGGCACGGCCUCCCAGCCGGGCCGUUGCACCUCACCCCAGAAUGGGCUCAGCUGCUGCAGCCGGGGGUCCCACGCCGGCACCGAGCGGCCAACGGAGCUGCCAUGUUCAUAUUUUAUCUUUUAUUGGCUUUUUUUUUUUUUCCCUCUUUCCCCCUAUUUUACCCUUUCUGCACCACGACUCCCUGGGGCCCCAGCAGAACAUCUGGCCAAGCCACUUCUGGUUCCAUUUAUUGGCGGAUAAUUUAUUUGUGGACCAGAAGGGAAAAGAGACCCAACUGUUCAGAGGAGGAGUAUUGGUAGGGCCGUUGGUGGUGCUGCUCAAACACGAGCUCCUUAGGUGUGAUCCAGACCCAGGGAAGUCAAACACAGAUCUCCCCUUUGGAUCCAGAGCUGUCAGAUCUCAGUCCAAACGCACGGAGGGAAAUCAUUCGAAUGCACACUCUCCCAGUUCACCAUACCCACUGUCCACAUCCCUCAGUGCCACAUCCCCACAGCUCUGGAACACCCCCAGGGAUGGUGACCCCCCCACCCCCUGGGCAGCUGUGCAGUGCAGCACUGCUCUCAUCCACAGAGGCUGAAGAUGGUCCUUGGAAAGAAGCAGAGGAGCAGACAAAGGACCGAAUCCUGAGGAUGCAAAGUGCUUCGUGUAUCCCCUGCAGCCAGCCAGCCUCUGCUCCAGCAAGGCAAUGGAAACAAACAUCCAUUUUCCUGAUCUAGCCCCAAAAAGCCAGUCCUAAUAUCCAGAACGAGGAGGACACGGCUGUGCUUCCAUCUCCCACCCUACCGGCAC
rnacentral:lncRNA from 1 species